GGGUCGGAGCGGUGAUGGGUGACACCAGCGGACUCCAAAUCCGUCGACCAAAUGGUCUUGGGGGUUCGAAUCCUCCCCGGCCCGCCA
rnacentral:tRNA from 1 species